AUACUUACCUGGACGGGGUCGAUGGACGAUCAACAAGGUCCAUGGCCUAGGUUGACGGCCUCCAUUGCACUGAGGAGGUGCGUCCGCCUAAGGUCGGCCCAAGUGGUCGAGCCUACGUCAUAAUUUGUGAUAGCGGGGGCCUGCGUUCGCGCGGCCCCUGU